rnacentral:rRNA from 1 species
AUUGAACGCUGGCGGCAUGCUUUACACAUGCAAGUCGAGCGGCAGCGCGGGGGCAACCCUGGCGGCGAGCGGCGAACGGGUGAGUAAUGCAUCGGAACGUACCCUGGAGUGGGGGAUAACGCCGCGAAAGCGGCGCUAAUACCGCAUAUGCUCUGAGGAGGAAAGUGGGGGACCGCAAAGGCCUCACGCUCUGGGAGCGGCCGAUGUCCGAUUAGCUAGUUGGUGGGGUAAAGGCUUACCAAGGCGACGAUCGGUAGCUGGUCUGAGAGGAUGAUCAGCCACACUGGGACUGAGACACGGCCCAGACUCCUACGGGAGGCAGCAGUGGGGAAUUUUGGACAAUGGGGGCAACCCUGAUCCAGCCAUGCCGCGUGAGUGAAGAAGGCC